UUAAGUGUGUAUAUUGGUUGUGGGUGCUGGUGGGUUGGGUUGGGUUGUGAACUUCUCAAAGAGUCGCCCUCUCCGGUUUCAGCAAUGUAGUUUCAUUAUCUGUGUUUUUUAGCGUCUUUUGGAAAUUGGAACCUUUGCUACUGAGUUGUGUAGGUUGUAGAGGCUUUAAGAGUAAUGGUAAUGGGUGACCCCUUUGGAGAUACUAUAUCUAAGGUACACUGUUGGAAAUCAGAGAUUUAAACAAUUAAAAGAACAAGAAGCAAGGAGGAAACAACAAAAAGAGGCAGAAAAAGCUAAAGAGGCUUCAUUGACAAAUGAAGUUGACCAUGAACUUAAAGCCGAUUCUAUGAGUUCUGCUAAUGGAAGUCCUUCAUCUUCAGAUUCCAGUCAAGUUGAUAGAACUUCGAUUUCUAAAGGGAAAAUGGCGAAGAUUCGGUUUUGUAUAAUAGCAGAAGAGAUCGACAGCAUCUUGAUGAAAAUCUUGAAAAGGAAAAAGCCGCCACGUGUACCACAGAAAACAAAAGCGCAACCAAAGAUGAACAAGAAGAAUGAUCAUGAACAACCAAGCAAGAAAAAAAUAAUGUGGGAGUACAAAAGAACUUGGUUUAGGUUCAUGAACACAUGGUCAUGCACACGCACCGUCAGGUUCGUUUUGAUUAUACACAAGAUAAGGUGUAGAUACGUUUAGAGGGGUUCGGAUACAAUGAUGUGGAAUAUUUGUUUCUAUAAUCAAGUUUCCAUGAUAUAUAGGCAGUGAGAACUUAGAAUUCGGGUUUAAAAUUUGUCCCG